rnacentral:rRNA from 1 species
GACUAGAGUGCAGUAGGGGAGUCUGGAAUUCCUGGGGUAGCGGUGAAAUGCGCAGAUAUCAGGAGGAACACCGGUGGCGAAGGCGGGACUCUGGGCUGUAACUUACACUGAGGAGCGAAAGCAUGGGGAGCGAACAGGAUUAGAUACCCUGGUAGUCCAUGCCGUAAACCUUGGGCACUAGGUGUGGGGGACAUUCCACGUUCUCCGCGCCGUAACUAACGCAUUAAGUGCCCCGCCUGGGGAGUACGGUCGCAAGGCUAAAACUCAAAGGAAUUGACGGGGGCCCGCACAAGCGGCGGAGCAUGCGGAUUAAUUCGAUGCAACGCGAAGAACCUUACCGAGGCUUGACAUAC